AGGUGCUUGUGAUUCAAUUGGCUACUUUGAAAGGUGUUCGCUGUGACGGUGCGUUUAUUUGCGAUCACUCACCUUCUGUUGCCUGCGUGCCAUAUCCGUGGGUUGUUUGGCAUUGAAAGGAAGGACUUUCGGCUUGUGGUUGGUCCGCAGGUGGUCGUUUAUGUUUACCUCCUUGCCCCGAGGAAGUCAAAAGCUUUUUGGGGGAGUCUUUUGGAACUUCAGUGUCCUCGUCAAUUUCUCCUCCCGAGUCUUCGCUGGAGGACGGGUCUAACAUGUUUUACAACACAGUUCUAGGCCAAGGUUGCUGGUGCCCGUCAUUGUUCGCUGCCGCUGCUCACCUUCUCCCUCUGCAUUCAAGAUUUGCUGAAUGAUCG